rnacentral:tRNA from 1 species
GGCCCCGUAGCUCAGCUGGAUAGAGCACCGGACUUCUAAUCCGACGGUCGCAGGUUCGAAUCCUGCCGGGGUCACCA